rnacentral:rRNA from 1 species
UACGUAGGGGGCGAGCGUUGUCCGGAUUCAUUGGGCGUAAAGAGCUCGUAGGCGGUGUGUCGCGUCGGCCGUGAAAACCUGCAGCUUAACUGUGGGCUUGCGGUCGAUACGGGCAUCACUGGAGUUCGGCAGGGGAGACUGGAAUUCCUGGUGUAGCGGUGAAAUGCGCAGAUAUCAGGAGGAAUACCGGUGGCGAAGGCGGCAUCCUGGACCGGCAUUGACGCUGAUGAGCGAAAGCUAGGGGAGCAAACGGG